UACGGAGGGUGCAAGCAUUAAUCGGAUUUACUGGGCGUAAAGGGUGCGUAGGCGGAUUGGCAAGUCAGAUGUGAAAUCCUGGGGCUCAGCCCCAGAACUGCAUUUGAAACUACCUUUCUAGAGGAUAGGCGGAGAAAAUGGAAUUCCACAAGUAGCGGUGAAAUGCGUAGAUAUGUGGAAGAACACCAGUGGCGUAGGCGAUUUUCUAGCUUACUCCUGACGCUGAGGCACGAAAGCUAGGGGAGCAAACAGG
rnacentral:rRNA from 1 species